GAAGAGGGCUGAGCUGGAGUAGGUCUGGAGGCUGGGUCAUGGGCCAGGGACUAUGAAAAUUAUGUUAGACAAAAAGCAAAUUCGAGAGAUUUUAUUUGAGUUCAAAAUGGGUUGUAAAGCAUCAGAGACAACUUGCAACAUCAAUAACGCAUUUGGCCCAGGAUCUGCUAAUGAACGUACAGUGCAGUGGUGGUUCGAGAAGUUUUGCAAAGGGGACGAGAUCCU
rnacentral:lncRNA from 1 species